GGGGGUAGCUACAGUAGAGUUUGAUCCUGGCUCGAGCUCUCGGUAUCUGAUGUGGCGCUUGCAUCAUGAUUUACAUUUGAGUGAGUGGCGAACUGGUGAGUAACACGUGGGAAACCUGCCCAGAAGCGGGGGAUAACACCUGGAAACAGAUGCUAAUACCGCAUAACAACUUGGACCGCAUGGUCCGAGCUUGAAAGAUGGCUUCGGCUAUCACUUUUGGAUGGUCCCGCGGCGUAUUAGCUAGAUGGUGGGGUAACGGCUCACCAUGGCAAUGAUACGUAGCCGACCUGAGAGGGUAAUCGGCCACAUUGGGACUGAGACACGGCCCAAACUCCUACGGGAGGCAGCAGUAGGGAAUCUUCCACAAUGGACGAAAGUCUGAUGGAGCAACGCCGCGUGAGUGAAGAAGGGUUUCGGCUCGUAAAACUCUGUUGUUAAAGAAGAACAUAUCUGAGAGUAACUGUUCAGGUAUUGACGGUAUUUAACCAGAAAGCCACGGCUAACUACGUGCCAGCAGCCGCGGUAAUACGUAGGUGGCAAGCGUUGUCCGGAUUUAUUGGGCGUAAAGCGAGCGCAGGCGGUUUUUUAAGUCUGAUGUGAAAGCCUUCGGCUCAACCGAAGAAGUGCAUCGGAAACUGGGAAACUUGAGUGCAGAAGAGGACAGUGGAACUCCAUGUGUAGCGGUGAAAUGCGUAGAUAUAUGGAAGAACACCAGUGGCGAAGGCGGCUGUCUGGUCUGUAACUGACGCUGAGGCUCGAAAGUAUGGGUAGCAAACAGGAUUAGAUACCCUGGUAGUCCAUACCGUAAACGAUGAAUGCUAAGUGUUGGAGGGUUUCCGCCCUUCAGUGCUGCAGCUAACGCAUUAAGCAUUCCGCCUGGGGAGUACGGCCGCAAGGCUGAAACUCAAAGGAAUUGACGGGGGCCCGCACAAGCGGUGGAGCAUGUGGUUUAAUUCGAAGCUACGCGAAGAACCCUUACCAGGUCUUGACAUACUAUGCAAAUCUAAGAGAUUAGACGUUCCCUUCGGGGACAUGGGAUACAGUGGUGCAUGGAUGUCGUCAGCUCGUGUCGUGAGAUGUUGGGGUUAAGUCCCGCAACGAGCGCAACCCUAUAUCAGUGCCAGCAUUAAGUGGGCACUCUGGUGGAGACUGCGGUGGACAAUCGAAGAGGUGGGAUGACGUCAAUCAUCAUGCCUAUGACUUGGCUAACACACGUGCCUACCAAAUGGAAGUGGUU
rnacentral:rRNA from 1 species